rnacentral:rRNA from 1 species
GAGUUUGAUCAUGGCUCAGAUUGAACGCUGGCGGCAUGCCUUACACAUGCAAGUCGAACGGCAGCACGGGAGCUUGCUCCUGGUGGCGAGUGGCGAACGGGUGAGUAAUGCAUCGGAACGUAUCCUGGAGUGGGGGAUAACGUAGCGAAAGUUACGCUAAUACCGCAUAUUCUGUGAGCAGGAAGCGGGGGACCUUCGGGCCUCGCGCUCUUGGAGCGGCCGAUGUCGGAUUAGCUAGUUGGUGAGGUAAAGGCUCACCAAGGCGACGAUCCGUAGCAGGUCUGAGAGGAUGAUCUGCCACACUGGAACUGAGACACGGU